GUGUAGGCUAGGUCUACAUGAAAGACUGCUCUUGUCGGCUCAUACCUAACACGUUAUACCAAGCUCAAUCGAAAAAGACCUCACAAUCACACACAAAUGAUCUUUGGCUUGAAAUAAGGCUAGGCUAAGGGUAUGGGAAACUGCUCUAAAAAUGAGAGACAACUACUUGGAUUAACAGAGGGUGAUGAAGUGAAUAAGAUGAUCCAAGUAUGUAUAUGGUAGCCAUGAGUUCAUAAACAAUGCAUAGACAUGAUAAUUUCAAAUUCAGUUCAGGUUCUAAUAGAUAGGGAAUGGCGUCAGAUAAGCGAGUUUCGAUCAAAGUAGUAUAGUCCAAUUAGAAAUUCAAAGCAGGGUGCGGUCUUACUUCAGAGAUACAAUCGGUUAUGCAACAGAGAACUAACAACCUGGACAUUGAACUUACUUCAUUGAAUCAAAACAUGCUUAUCGGUUUGAAAUCAUUAUUAUCCCCUAUGCAAAUGAGCAAUCCUAAAUGCAAACACUCUAUAUACAAUCCUAAAAUGAUAUGCAAUCUACAUGACACUCUUUUUUUUUUUUUGAAAUAAUUUUCUGAAAAG
rnacentral:sRNA from 1 species